rnacentral:rRNA from 1 species
GACGAACGCUGGCGGCGUGCUUAACACAUGCAAGUCGAACGGAAAGGCCCUGCUUUUGUGGGGUGCUCGAGUGGCGAACGGGUGAGUAACACGUGAGUAACCUGCCCUUGACUUUGGGAUAACUUCAGGAAACUGGGGCUAAUACCGGAUAGGAGCUCCUGCUGCAUGGUGGGGGUUGGAAAGUUUCGGCGGUUGGGGCUGGACUCGCGGCUUAUCAGCUUGUUGGUGGGGUAGUGGCUUACCAAGGCUUUGACGGGUAGCCGGCCUGAGAGGUGGACCGGCCACAUUGGGACUGAGAGACGGCGCAGACUCCUACGGGAGGCAGCAGUGGGGAAUAUUGCACAAUGGGCGGAAGCCUGAUGCAGCAACGCCGCGUGCGGGAUGACGGCCUUCGGGUUAUAAACCGCUUUCGCCUGUGACGAAGCGUGAGUGACGGUAAUGGGUAAAGAAGCACCGGCUAACUACGUG